rnacentral:rRNA from 1 species
UACGUAGGGUGCGAGCGUUGUCCGGAAUUAUUGGGCGUAAAGAGCUCGUAGGCGGUGUGUCGCGUCGGUCGUGAAAACUUGGGGCUUAACCCUGAGCUUGCGGUCGAUACGGGCAUCACUGGAGUUCGGCAGGGGAGACUGGAAUUCCUGGUGUAGCGGUGAAAUGCGCAGAUAUCAGGAGGAACACCGGUGGCGAAGGCGGGUCUCUGGGCCGAUACUGACGCUGAGGCGCGAAAGCUAGGGGAGCAAACAGG